CGCAGGCGGCCAGGUCAGUCGAAUGUGAAAGCCCCCGGCUCAACUGGGGAAGGUCGUUCGAUACUGCCUGGCUCGAAGAUAGGAGAGGGAAGUGGAAUUUCAGGUGUAGUGGUGAAAUGCGUAGAUAUCUGAAGGAACACCAGUGGCGAAGGCGACUUUCUAGCCUAUUCUUGACGCUGAGGCGCGAAGGCUAGGGGAGCGAACG
rnacentral:rRNA from 1 species